rnacentral:rRNA from 1 species
GAAGUGCUUUAGCAAUAAAGAACCCGGUGACAGGUGCUGCAUGGCUGUCGUCAGCUCGUGUCGUGAGAUGUUGGGUUAAGUCCCGCAACGAGCGCAACCCUCGCCUUUAGUUGCCAGCAUUCAGUUGGGGCACUCUAGAGGGACUGCCGGUGUCAAACCGGAGGAAGGUGGGGAUGACGUCAAGUCCUCAUGGCCUUUAUGUCUAGGGCUACACACGUACUACAAUGGCCGGUACAAAGGGCAGCCACUCAGCGAUGAGGCGCUAAUCCCAUAAAGCCGGUCUCAGUCCGGAUCGCAGUCUGCAACUCGACUGCGUGAAGUUGGAAUCGCUAGUAAUCGUAGAUCAGCAUGCUACGGUGAAUACGUUCCCGGGCCUU